GACCCGAGUCACUUCACAACGGAUCGUCCGGCACGUACCUGCCGGUGAAGGGAGCUG
rfam:Nocardioides sp. Leaf285 contig_1, whole genome shotgun sequence.